rnacentral:rRNA from 1 species
UACGAAGGGGGCUAGCGUUGUUCGGAAUUACUGGGCGUAAAGCGCGCGCAGGCGCUCUUCAAGUUAGGGGUGAAAGCCCAGAGCUCAACUCUGGAACUGCCUUUGAGACUGAAGAGCUUGAGUACGGGAGAGGUGAGUGGAAUUCCCAGUGUAGAGGUGAAAUUCGUAGAUAUUGGGAAGAACACCGGUGGCGAAGGCGGCUCACUGGCCCGUUACUGACGCUCAGGCGCGACAGCGUGGGGAUCAAACAGG